GGCUACUAUUUCUAAGGAAGGCAGCAGGCGCGUAAAUUACCCAAUCCUGACUCAGGGAGGUAGUUAAUAGAAAUAACUUGAUCGGCUCUAUGAGUAUUGAUCGUGUAAUGAACCAAAUGUAGAAAAAUUGGUGAAUCCUAUUGGAGGGCAAGUCUGGUGAAAAUAAGAGUCUCGGGGUGAGACGCUGGCGCCAGAAAUAGGAGACCCUCUCUAAAAAAUUCUCCUAGUCUUCUCAAUCAAGCAGACUAAGCAGUCGUUAACAGUGCGAUUAAGAGAAGGCGACACAACCUGGUACGAGGAAGACUCCUAGAGUUAAUCUCGUGGCUAGCCAUUGUAGCGAAUGGCAGUUGUAACGCGCGGUAAGGUGUGGGUUUCGAAAGAAGCUUAAGGAACGUGCUAAUCCCCCCGCAAGGGAGUCCGAUCAGGGAGUGCUGUUUCACAAACUGACGGAAGUCAAAGUUGUUGGAGGAAAUGCCAACAAAUGUAAAGACUGGUAUAUGAUAUAAGUGGCCAGCAGCCGCGGUAAUUCCAGCUCCAAUAGCGUAUAUUAAAGUUGUUGCAGUUAAAAAGCUCGUAGUUGAAUUUCCGGCAGUAUUGCCUGUCCGUAAGGGUAUCGACCACCGUCAAAAGUUUUUGAUACUUGAGCGGACUUUUACUGUGAUUAAAAUAGAGUGCUCAAAGCAGGCUUGUGCUUGAAUAUUUCAGCAUGGAAUAAUAAAAGACGACUUCAGUCAAUUUAUUGGUUAUUGGCAGAAGUAAUGAUUAACAGAAACAGUUGGGGGCAUCCGUAUUUGAUAGUCAGAGGUGAAAUUCUUAGAUUUAUCAAAGACGAACUAAUGCGAAAGCAUUUGCCAAGAAUGUUUUCAUUAAUCAAGAACGAAAGUUAGGGGAUCAAAGACGAUUAGAUACCGUCGUAGUCCUAACCAUAAACUAUACCGACUAGGGAUUGGAAGGCUACGUACCUUUCAGCACCUAAUGAGAAAUCAAAGUCUUUGGGUUCUUGGGGGAGUUAACAAACUCA
rnacentral:rRNA from 1 species